rnacentral:rRNA from 1 species
UACGUAGGGGGCAAGCGUUGUCCGGAAUCAUUGGGCGUAAAGCGCGCGUAGGCGGUUACUUAAGUCGGAUGUGAAAGCCCUCGGCUUAACUGAGGAAGUGCACCCGAAACUGAGUAGCUAGAGUACGAAAGAGGGUCGCGGAAUUCCCGGUGUAGAGGUGAAAUUCGUAGAUAUCGGGAGGAACACCGGUGGCGAAGGCGGCGACCUGGGUCGAGACUGACGCUGAGGCGCGAAAGCGUGGGGAGCAAACAGG